GACGAACGCUGGCGGCGUGCUUAACACAUGCAAGUCGAACGGAAAGGCCCUGCUUUUGUGGGGUGCUCGAGUGGCGAACGGGUGAGUAACACGUGAGGAACCUGCCCUUGACUUUGGGAUAACUUCAGGAAACUGGGGCUAAUACCGGAUAGGAGCUCCUGCUGCAUGGGGGGGGUUGGAAAGUGUCGGCGGUUGGGGAUGGACUCGCGGCUUAUCAACUUGUUGGUGGGGUAGUGGCUUACCAAGGCUUUGACGGGUAGCCGGCCUGAGAGGGUGACCGGCCACAUUGGGACUGAGCUACGGCCCAGACUCCUACGGGAGGCAACAGUGGGGAAUAUUGCACAAUGGGCGGAAGCCUGAUGCAGCAGCGCCGCGUGCGGGAUGACGGCCUUCGGGCUGUAAACCGCUUUCGCCUGUGACGAAGCGUGAGUGACGGUAAUGGGUAAAGAAGCACCGGCUAACUACGUG
rnacentral:rRNA from 1 species